rnacentral:rRNA from 1 species
GUGGGGAAUAUUGGGCAAUGGGGGCAACCCUGACUCAGCGACGCCGCGUGAGGGAAGACGGCCUUCGGGUUGUAAACCUCUUUUGUACGGGAAGAAGGAAGUGACGGUACUGUACGACUAAGUCCCGGCUAACUACGUGCCAGCAGCCGCGGUAAUACGUAGGGGACGAGCGUUGUCCGGAAUUACUGGGCGUAAAGGGCGCGCAGGCUGUGCUGCAAGUCAGCUGUGAAAUGUCUGGGCUUAACCCGGGCAUGCGGUUGAGACUGCAGUGCUGGAGUGCUGUAGAGGCAAGUGGAAUUCCCAGUGUAGCGGUGAAAUGCGUAGAUAUUGGGAAGAACACCGGUGGCGAAGGCGACUUGCUGGGCACCAACUGACGCUGAGGCGCGAAAGCCAGGGGAGCAAACGGGAUUAGAAACCCCGGUAGUCC